UCCCGGAAAGGGGGCGGGGUCCUUAGGGGGGGUCUGGCCCGCCCCUCCCCACAAAAAGACCUAGCCGGUGGCGGCGUCUCCUGGGAGUCCGCUUCCUGCCCCGCCCCUCCGCCCCCUGGAUCCUUAAAGGCGCAGGCCUCCAGCCUGGCUCCCAUUGCUGCCAACUCUUAGGCCGCUGUCGGAGGAUCCCCUUUAACCUGCGAGAGAACUUUCACUUUGCUAAAUUGAACCUGUGUCUGGGUCAGUUCCGACGAGCUCCUUUCUCUGUUUCAAAUGUGCAUUGACUUCACCCAGCUGGAGCAAAGCCUGGGACGUGGAGCGGGGUCCGUGGGGCCUUCCAGACUAGGUAAAUGUAGUGACUGAGACUCACCCACACGGUAAACAGCGUCUCAGGACCCCUCCAGCAACCCAAUAACUCGUCCUCCAAUCUGUGGCCAGCUUCCCCUAUCAGUCACCUCUUGGUAUGAGGCGGCGGGAGAGACCUGGACUACGAGUCUUCACUUCUGGGUUCUCGUCCUAGCUUGAUGACACCUCCUGCCUGGCGUUCUCACACAGAUCGUACCAUAAUUGACUGACUGGAAAAUAGACUCAUGGAUCUGACAUCACCACCAUAAACUAAUGCUUGGAUGAUUCAAGCUGUCAGAGCCCUGGGACUUGAGACUUCCAGAAAAAUUCCAGCCCCAAAGCAGAAGACUUCUGUGGAGAAAGAUGCUAAGCCACAAACAGUUCAGCAUCUGAUCUAGGAACAGAUUCUAGGGACAAGGGAAAGCAAGCAAAGAACAUGAAGGUCUAUUUUGAACAGCACAAGCUCAAGGCAACCAUGACUUGAAGCAGGGGGGCCAGCCAUACUCCUCAAGGACCAUGGAAGCAGCCCUCACUGGCAUUGAAUUCACAUCACUCAGGUCUAAACCUUCCUGGAUCCUGGAGAAUUCUCUGCACAGAGCCAUGGAUUUCUCUCUCCAGCCUACGGGCUUUGGAUUUAUUUCUGACUUGGGAAAUCCCCAUCCUGCCUUCUGCUUUCAGCCCAGGCCCUGGCUUGGGUAAAACACAACGAGGAAGCAGGUGACAUCUCAGGACAGAAGGGGCCAGGUCAGGGAAGUGCCUUCCAGGGAUUCACACCAGAGCUGGAGACAUGGUUGGGAUGUUAUGUUAGAGAAAAUGAAAGCUGGGAGAGCGGGAGGGACCUGCCUCGGGUCUCCAGAAAGUCAGUAAUAGAGCCAAGGUAAGUCCCAGGAUGCCUGGCUCUCAUCACAUCCACUCUAUCUCAGGGCCACCAAAGCCGUACCCCAUCAGAGUCCCCCUAACGUUCCUUCUCAUCUCUCUCUCUACCCCGAGACACUUAGUUCUGCCCAAAAAGAUUCUCAGUGCUCUCCAAAUACAUCAUCUGCUUUUAACUCCGUGCCUUUGCACACAACACGCCUUUUUGUGCAUCCCCUUCUCCCACUUGUCUACCAGGUAAACCCCUACUCAUCCCUCAAGGCCUGUUCAAGUAAAUGUUUCCCUCCUUCAAACAAAGUCUAAACUCAGUUUAUCCAGAAUCCAUUCAUCCCUCUUUCCUCUGUGUUCUUAUAACACUCUCUGUAUACACUGAUUUUAAUAUUUACUACCCUCUUCUAUAAUUGUCUAUAACUGUCUUAGUCCUCACUAGACUGUAUUCUCCUCUAGGAUAGGGAUUAUUUCUGCUUCAUCUCUCUGUCCCCAGGGCCUAUCAAGGUGUCUGGCACUCAAUAAAUGUCGACCAAAUAGUGGAACAGAUGAAGGAAUAUGAGGCCAAUUUUUAACCUUUUUAAAUUUUAUAUUUUUAAGGAAUAUGAGUCUUUAUUUAUUUAUUUAUUUAUUUGGCCAUUCCAUGCAGCUUGCAGGAUCUUAGUUCCCCAACCAGGGAUUGAACCCGUGCCCUUGGCAGUGAAAGCAUGGAGUCCUACCACUGGACCACCAGGAAAUUCCCUCAGAGUCUUAGUUUAUUAUCCUUGAAAUGAAAGGAAAAAAAACCUCAAGCACUUGGUAAGGAUAAGUGGUGGAUAAUGAAUGUGGCACCAUCACUGACUCAGUUGCCUGAGCCAAAAAUAGGGUAUCACCCCAAAUUUCCACUUAUCCCUCUUCCUUUUCCCCUUCCCCUGUCACCAUGGCUUUUUUUUUUUAAAUUAAUUUAUUUUAUUUUUGGCUGCAUUGGGUCUUCGUUGCU